rnacentral:rRNA from 1 species
GACGAACGCUGGCGGCAUGCCUAAUACAUGCAAGUCGAGCGAACAGAUGAAGUGCUUGCACUUCUGACGUUAGCGGCGAACGGGUGAGUAACACGUAAGGAAUCUACCUAUAAGCGGGGGAUAACAUUCGGAAACGGGUGCUAAUACCGCAUAAUAUCUUCUUCCGCAUGGAAGAAGAUUGAAAGACGGCUCUGCUGUCACUUAUAGAUGACCUUGUGGUGCAUUAGUUAGUUGGUGGGGUAACGGCCUACCAAGACGAUGAUGCAUAGCCGACCUGAGAGGGUGAUCGGCCACAUUGGGACUGAGACACGGCCCAAACUCCUACGGGAGGCAGCAGUAGGGAAUCUUCCGCAAUGGGCGAAAGCCUGACGGAGCAAUGCCGCGUGAGUGAAGAAGGCCUUCGGGUCGUAAAACUCUGUUAUAAGAGAAGAACAAAUUGUAGAGUAACUGCUACAGUCUUGACAGUAUCUUAUCAGAAAGCCACGGCUAACUACGUGCCAGCCGCCGCGGUAA